CGACAGCCCUAGCUCCAAAACCAUUUGUUUAGUCCUUAAUUCCCCAUAGAUGGUAGACACGCACUUGAUUAGAUUGGAGAACUGUAACAGAGAGAUUUUGAUGUGUUUCCAUGAUAGAAAAUUGGGUAAGAAAAGACGGCACAAUAAGAGAGGAUGAGGCAAUUGAUAGGGAACAUGAUAAUUGUGCUUACAAAUUGGAUUAAUAGUGCCCAAAAUCUCACUUUGAAUCAAAAUUUGUGCAUCUUUUUUACCACUUCACACUCAUUUAAAACCUAAUUUGAUAUAAAUCUGCAUAUAUGAAACUUUUCUACAGGAAGAUAAUCCCAACUAGUUGGUGCACUAAUAGAGUUGUUAUUGGUUUGGAUGGUGGGGGAGAAUGAGAGAGCUUUUUUUCUUGAAGGGUGAGGAGUCUUUAUCGGACAGUUCUUCGCAAGGCGCACAAGGAAGGAGUAUUAAGAGAUAGUGAUGUGUGGGGUAUAUAUAAUUGUGUAAAGAAGUGUUUAAGAGAUAGAAGUAUCGAGGGUGUGUAUGUGGGUGUACGAUUAGUAUUGACAUGUAGCUUUAGUUGUGUGUGGGGUGGUAUCAUCAAGCGUCAUAAAUGCAGUCAUAAAUGCAGUGGUUGAAGAGCUUUUUAUAGGAUCAUGGUGUUAUGGGCUUGGUUGUUACGUGUCAACUAGUGAGUAAUGACUAUGCUUCAAUCUGAUAUGUACCGUUGAUAAUGGACAACCAGAGAUCGCCUAGCCCAGUGGUUGUUGCAAAGCGCGCGGCUAGCCAUCCCAUUCCCAAAUGGCGUGCACCAACCACUCGAUGGCCUGAGUGACAAGUUGACCUGAUAUGAUUGGGGGUCUAUCCCAUCAGAGUGACAUGUCCCCAAAUCAAUAUCCUGUUUGUCUACUAGGUUGAGUGGCCUAGGCCAACCAAUUGAUUCAGCGGUCGAGGUUACCUUGGCCAAGCUUGUGAGCCAUUGAACAUUCUGAGCAGGUCGUUGGACCUGGAAUCAGAAACAUAUAAACUCCAAAUGAAAUUUGAUUUGGCACCAACAACUAUACCAUAUGAAAAGCACACACAAAUUCCACUCUUUCACUGACUAUGAUCGAAUCGCCAAUUACAAAAGAAUCCAAUUGAGGAUAAAUUGUAUCAUAGUAUUAGUUAGCAUCAUUGUUCUCAAACGGAUUCCGGCCUACUAAAAAUGUUUCUAGAUGGAAUGAUGAUAUACACUCACCAUAAUAUUAACCCAAUAAAGGUAUCAUAAGACUUUUUUAUAUCCAUAAAUACUAGUUUAGGAUCCACAACAAUACAGCAAGCAUUAAGGAGACAUGAAGGCCCCUCCUAGCUAGUAGGCUACAUGCAGCAGCAAAGGCUCUCAUUCAUGAUACACAUGCAUGGACAUCUUCUGUACAUAAUCAUUACUCUGCAUCAAUGUGUCUCUCCACCUAGAUUUAGUAUGUAAUAUUUUAUCUAUGCUGGUUGGUUCCUUGUUCUAGAUUCACUAUUUAACUGUUUUAACAAAAAUACAAAAACAUUUUAAGUUAGCUAACUGAGGAAAAUGAACAUCUAAUUCGACUCAAUACCUUGAAUCAUAGCCACGGCACACGUAGCAGUUCUUCCUGCAUCCUUCCAUACCAUUGAACCAUUUAGCUGCGAGUAUCAGCAACAACAUCUAAAAAAAUUGAGCUCUAGUUCAAAUCCAAAGAGUAAUGUAAUGAACACAUGGGAUGAGGAGUAAAAAGAAAGAAACAGAACCAGAUUCUAGGGGUGUGGUCAUCUGAUUCGAACAAAGAUAUGCACAUAUCCAAAAUCCAAAGAUCCUCUGUUACCCCAACCCAAAUGCACACGGCAACAAAGAUGAGUGAAAGGGGUUUCAGAAAGAUCUACCAAAAUUACUUAUCUUUCAGUAAUAUCAAAAUCCAUGGUGCCCUUCUUCAUAUUUCUGUACUUUGGGAUUGUAGUUUUGCCUUUUGUCAAUACCACCACCCACUAGAUUCUUCUGCCAAUAGCGGAGGUAAGGCGGUGGCAGAGUACUGGUGCUGAGUCACAAAAGCAGUAGUUAACAAAACCAGAAUCUAUUGUCCAAUGUACUGAAAAUGCCCAAGUACAAAAAUGCUUCCUUUCUAGAGCUGCGAACAACAAAAAAUCCCACAUCACUAGUGCUUUAUGUCAUCUGCAACUUGGGAUGCAGCACAAAAUCUAAAAAAGCAUUGUCUCAAGUGUUAAAAACAUUAAACUAUACACAUUCAGGGAUUCUAUUUUUUAAUUGGGGGGAUGGAACAUAUAGACAAAGAUAAUCAUUCCGAAUCAACAACAAAGAUUCACUACAUACAUUUGUUAACAUCCUAGUCUCUCUAAUAAAGAACAAGAUCAACCCUUCCCUUCUUUUCUGCCUCAUACGUUCACACAACCUAGAGGAAAACUAAUCAUUUCCGCUUCACCCUCAAGAGCAUACAUGCAAUCGAGACAUCACGUGCUCUAGGGACCCAUCAAAUCCCCACGAACCCCCUCAAUUCCUUUUUACCCCCGAGUGAAAAUAAAGUAUAGACUGGCCCCAUUGUUCCUAACUGUUGAUCUCAAAGCAUAUUUGAUAUGGUUAAAUUCCGACAGCUAUAGAUUGCAGAGGAACAAUAUCUAUCAGAUUUCAUUGUGUGAGAGAUGAGGCAUAAGCAUGGGCGUACCUGUCCACGGAUGGCUCAGAGACACACAGAGACAGAGAGGCUAUGAGAGGGAGGGAAGGAGGAAGAUAUGCAUACCUGCAAGCCAUCUUACUUUAUUACCAAAAACGGAAAAAAGUAUCCUUAAAACGUUAGGAUAAAUUUCAUGGACAUGUUUGUCUUUGGUGGAAAAGGUAGGGUCAUUGUGGUUGUAACUGUAGGGAAAAAGUUGAAAGAUUUGGGAGAUCUUUCUUUGUAAUGACUUUUUCCUCUUCCACUUGGCACAAUGUGUGUAAUGACUUCUUUUCCAGAAUCAAAAUGAAAAUUAAAUUUUAGAAAAGGAUUAAUAAAAUGCUGAAAACCCCUCUUACCAGGAAGGCAGUCUUCAUACGGAUUCUUGCAACUGAAUAUUGGUUGACUCAGCCGCUUAACCUCCUCACCUUUAAAUUAUGUCCUCCGCUCAUUCAUUUUUCCUUCACUCUUCCAUAUCUUUCCUUUGCUUCUCUUCUACUACAACAAACUUACGUACCAGCUCAACUCAGCC
rnacentral:lncRNA from 1 species